rnacentral:misc_RNA from 1 species
UCCGGCUUAUCACCGGCAGUUUUCUCAGAGUGCUCAGCCUAACCUGUUAGCAACAGAGAAUGAGGGUUGCGCUCGUUGCGGGACUUAACCCAACAUCUCACGACACGAGCUGACGACAGCCAUGCAGCACCUGUGCUUCUCCCACCCGAAGUGAAGGACUUCUUUUCGGAAGUCCAUAGAGAGCAUGUCGAACCCUGGUAAGGUUCUUCGCGUUGCCUCGAAUUAAACCACAUGUUCCACCGCUUGUGCGGGUCCCCGUCAAUUUCUUUGAGUUUUAAUCUUGCGACCGUACUCCCCAGGCGGGAUGCUUAACGCGUUAGCUACGCUACUGAGAGGUAACCUCCCAACAGCUAGCAUCCAUCGUUUACAGCGCGGACUAC